CCUUAUUUAAACAUACCACGCAUUUGAUAUAGAACAAAGUCGCUGGAGAUGAGGCAGGUCUUACAUUACUUUGAUGAAACCACCUUUUUGUUAAGCAUAUAGCUAGUCAUGCAUAGAUCUUAACAUCACGAUCAACCAUGAACGGGUUAAUCACUGUAGCACAUGUGAGAUACAUAGGCGUGUAUUUAGUGCCCAACACAUUGCCGCACUCAGGAUGUUGUCUUCCAAAGUGAUGUACAACGAAUAUCUGGUACAUGCUGAAUUUGGAGUACAUGGUUUUGGGUGUUCAUACAACCCUGAUGCAAUAUGUUCAAACUUGCCUAUUUUUCCAGCGGUACGAAGACUAUACGAUCUGGUAAGUGUUUUUUGCUAGAGGGAAUCAAAGGUACAUGAUGUUAUUUGGUAUUUAUGAGUUCCACAAGGAGACCCGUCAUGUAUAUAGAUGAAAAGCAAAGAUUGAUUUGAUACCCGAUGAAUAAUACUUUGGUGCGUGUAUUGGUUGCUACAUGAAAAUUAUCUACCCUUCAUAUUGAUCAAGCGUACCCUCUUGAGAUCACAGCUGAAUACAACUUGGAUGGUCAGCUCGGAUCAUC
rnacentral:lncRNA from 1 species